rnacentral:lncRNA from 1 species
GCUAUUUUAGUUUACCCGAAUUUAUAAUACUUUUUCAUAAGUGGUAUAACUCCUUUAAUUAUUGUAUAAAGGGUUAUUAAAAUCCAUCUUAGCAGAUUUGUUAUAUAAAAAUAGAAUCCAUCUGAAGCUAUGAAAAUUCUGCAUAUCUUGAACUGUAAUUUCUCCUUUUCAUUAAUUAAUUCUCCAACAUUUAAUUGAGUUGUAUAUAUUAUGACCUAAUUUCCUUAAUUACUAUAUCAUUCAUUCGCACACUACCUGAAAAUGGAAUAAGAAUCAAUCAUAAUCACUUUUCAAUAUCAAUGCAUCUUUUCCGCAAACAAAAAUUCUCUUCCACAAAUCCACCACCAAGAAUAACAUUCUCCCACAAUACUCAUUCAAUUAUGGAUGAGAUUUUUCUCUUAUUUUUAUCCUCACCCAAAUAAUAGGAUCAACAACCACGUAAUAACAAACAUAACCAUAAUCCAAAAAUAACAAUUUUGUCACAAAAUCAGGAAAGUAAUUCACCACAAAUUUCCCCCUCCACCACUAUAAAACUCUCUUGAUCCCACCCUUUUCUCCUCAGGCUGCAAAUUAUCUCUUAAACAAUAAAAGCAAAUAAAAGUGUAUUAGGUAACCCUAUCUCAUUCUUUUUUGUUACCUAAUAUACACCAUGGAGAUGAAGAAGGUUGCUUGUGCUGUUCUCUUUGCUGCCGCCUCCGUUAGCGCCGUCGUUGCCACCGAUGUGCCUGCCCCAGCACCAGGACCUAGCAGUGGUGCCACCACUGUUGGUUCAUUCAUUGGUGCCUCAGUUCUUUCCUUUGUUGCCUACUAUUUGUUUUAAGUGUGACACUUAUAUGAAUACUUGUGUGAGUAUGAAGAUGAGAUGCAUAAUUUGGAAGGAAUUGUACAAUGCUAGUUGAAGCAACAAGAGGAGAAGGAAAAUGAGAUUUUUCUUAUUUUUUCUUUGCCCUUUUGGCUUUGCAUUUUUUUCUAAGUUGUCUUUUCUUUCCAUGUUGAAUUUGUAGGCAUGGAAUGAUUUUAUAUUGUUGAAUAAAGUUUCUUAUUUACUAUUAAAUGUUGGGUUAUUUUUAUUUUACUUAUUUUGUUGAGUUAUGAUUAUUAUCUUAUAAAUAUUAUGAUUUUAAUUAAGGUUGUGAUUGUAUUUGUAAAAAAAGUGAGGAUAAUUGUAAAAACUUGUAUUGCAGUACAGCAAUACUGUAGCUAUAUUCAUAACUACAAUAUUGUGCAUACAAAUAAAACUGGGCUAAAAUUUAAACACAUGCUCAUGUUAUCGAUAUAUAGAUCAUCAUAUGAUAAUGAGAGUUUCUUAAAUUUCAAUGUUGUGUUGAGUCUAUAAAUUAAUAUUAUUGACUGGUUAUCAUUUACAGAGCUUUUUGCUAUACAUAUACUUAAUUAUUCAUAUAGUUAAGUGUAAGGAUGGUACUCACAAAGCAAAAAUUAUGGAAUGAUUCAUCAUAAAAGUAAAGAAUACAUUUCACAGUUUGACUCAAAAAUUGCCUUACAAGGCAGGCACGACCGAUGAAAUAUAUCUAUAAAUGUAUGUUUAAUUGUAAGAUAUCGCUGAGAAUAGUGUAAUUCAUUUAGCUAAUUUCGUUAAUCGAUUAAUAGAUUGUAUAAUUGAUUAAACAAUUUAUUAUUUCUGUCAUAAAAGACAUUGUAGCUGAAAUAAAGAAAGCGCGAAAUAUAUUUUUCAAUUUUCUCUCUUCUCACAUUUCACUCGAUAAUCGAUUACCCCAUAUCUUCAUCGAUUAAAUUCUUUCUUUCUUUUCUUCCAACAGUGGUCUCUAGAGCUAAGUGAUUAAGGAUCUAUGGAGGUACCAAGUUAAGGUGCUAGAACCGUCAAGUGGUGAAGCUCACAGAUGUGAUCAGAGACUCAAGGAGAAAGGGGGUGAAAGUGAAGCUGCAAAAGAGAUAUGGCAACCUCACAUGGAUUCUCAAUGAAUCUUGCAAUUCUUGAUGGGAAGAACUAUGACCAUUGGAGCAUUCAAAUGAAGGCAAUAUUUGGGUUCCAAGAAUGUCUUAAUAUUGUGCAAUUUGGGCUGCAAACAACAGAGGAAGAUUCUGUGGAAUAUAGGGAAGCCAAGAAGAGAGAUUGCAAGACAAUCUUCUUGAUUCAUCAAUGUGUAGAUCGUGCCAACUUUGAGAAGAUUUCUGCAGCUUCUUGUUCCAAGGAAGCAUGAGAAAUCUUAGAGAAAAAUUAAUCAGGUGAAGUGAAGGUGAAGAAAGUGAGACUUCAAACACUUAGAAGGCAGUAUAAAUUGCUGUAAAUGGAUGAACAAUAGACAAUUGUAGAAUACCUUAAAAGAAUUCGUGGUUUGAUCAAUCUAAUGAAAGAGUGCGGAGAGACACUGUCUGAGCAAGGUGUGGUGGAGAAGAUACUUAGAACACUCACUCCCAAGUUUGAUCAUAUUGUAAUGGCAAUAGAGGAGUCAAAAGAUCUUGAAAACUUCAAGAUUGAUGAAUUGCAAGGCUACUUCGAAGCACAUGAACAAAGAUUCAUAGAAAGGAAAUCUAAUAGGCAACCUCAAUAGGCCUUAAGUGCUCAAUUCAGAAAGAAAAUUUCUGCACAUAAUGAUAGAUUAAAAAGGGACAAAGGAAAAUGGCAUGGUGAUAAGAGAUUUGAGCAUGAAAAUUCAAGAUCACAUGGACCAAGGUCUCAAAGGAUUAACUCCAUUAAUCAAAGUUAUGAUAUUGAGAUCAACAAGGCUGAUAAAAGGGGUAAUCAAUGGAAUGGUAUGAAGAAAAAGGAUACGAGUAUAAUUCAAUGCUUCAAUUGUAGAAAUUAGGGUCAUUUUGCCUCAAAAUGCAAAGAGAAAAAGGUCACUCAUGUUAAAGACAGAGAGGCUAGACUAGCCAAGGAUGUGGACUCAGAAGAAGAGGUGUUGCUACUAGCCAAAAGAGAUGGAUUCUAUAAAGAGGCUAGUGAUUCAGAUGAUGCAUUUUUUAUGGUGACAACUCAGUGUGAUCAGAGUUCAAACAGUUGGUAUCUUGACAUAAGGUGUUCCAAUCACAUGAUAGGGCAUAUGGAGUGGUUUGUGAACCUAGAAAACUCUGUUGAGACAAAGAUCAAGUUUGCAGAUGAUAAUGUCAUCACUGCAUAAGGAGUUGGUAAAGCGAUGAUCAAGAAGAAUGAUGGAACAAUCACCUACAUCUCUAAUGUGUUGUAUGUUCCAAGGACGAAAAACAAUUUUUUGAGCCUAGGCCAAUUACUUGAAAAUGGAUACAACAUGAGGUUGGAGGAUAUGAUGAUGAAAGUGUUCAACAAAAGGGGAGUAUUGAUCUUGAAGGCUUCUCUCUCCCAAAACAGAACCUUCAAGAUUGGUAUUCAACUUGGAGAACACAAGUGUUUGGAAUCCAUUAUUGACGACACAUGAGUUUGGCAUCAAAGACUUGGCUACCUCAACUUCAGGAGCUUGGAAUUGUUAAGAAAGGAUGAAAUGGUAACUAGACUACUUAGCAUCAAAACACCAAUUGAAUUGUGUGAAGAUUCUCUCACAAGUAAGCAAAUCAUAAACUCAUUUAGUUCUCACGUACCAACCAAGUCCACUAGAUCACUUGAACUAGUGUAUACAGAUGUAUGCGGACCUUUGGAAGUUCAAUAACUUGGAGGGAACAACUACUUUGUGAUCUUCAAGGAUGACUUCACAAGGAAGCUAUGGAUCUAUUUAAUAAAGAAAAAUAGUUAAGUUUUUGGCAAGUUCAAGAGCUAUAAGGCACUUGUGGAGAAACAAAGUGGAAUGAAACUGAAACUGUUAAGGAGUGAUGGUGGCGGGGAGUACAAUUCUCAGGAGUUUCACCAAUUUUGGGAAUAGGAGGGCAUAACUCGUGAGGUAAUUACACCAUAUACUCCUCAAUACAAUGGAGCAGCUACGAGGAUUAAUAGAAUUGUCCUAAAUAUGGCAAGAAGCAUGUUGAAGACAAAGAAGCUACCCAAAAGGUUUUGGGCAGAAACAGUCUCUACAACAGCCUAUAUCUUGAACAUAUGUCCAACUAAAAGGCUAGAAAAUACAACUCUAGAAGAAGCUUGGUCAAGGCUUAAGCCAAAUGUGAAGCAUCUCAAAGUUUUUGGCUCAGUAUGCUACAAGAACAUACCAGAUUGUAGAAGAAAGAAGCUGAAUGAUAAAUGAGAGAAAUUGAUCUUCCUAGGUUAUCACUCAACAUGAGCUUACAAUGUGUUUAAUCCGGAAACAAACACUAUCUCAUACAACAUGAAUCUCAAGUUCAAUGAGGUUGAAUCUUGGGAAUGAAAUGAACACAACGCAUGCUCAAACAUAUCAGUUAGGAUGGAUAUUGAUAACACACAGAAUGCAUCAGAACCGCACACAAGCAAUGAUGUAAAUGUUGAUUUUGGUGAAAGACCUCAAAGACAAAGACAUAUGCCAUCAAGGUUAAAAGAUUAUGAGGUGUUUAAUAACUCAAUAAUCACCCAAGAAGAAGAUUUUGUGCAUACUCUACUAGCUGAAAUGGAGCCUAUCUCAUUUGAUCAAGCAAUCAAGGAUUAGUGUUGGAUUAAGGCAAUGAAGGAGGAAAUCAAUUCAAUAGAAAAGAAUGAUACAUGACAACUUACAACACUACCAAAGGGUAAGAAGGCAAUCUCAGUAAAGUGGGUGUACAAGGUGAAAUUAAAGUUGAUGGAACAAUUUCAAAGUACAAGGUCAAAUUAAUAGCAAAGAGGUUCUUGCAAAGACUAGGUUUGGAUUUUGAGGAAGUCUUUGCUCUAAUGGCAAGGAUAGAAACGAUAAGACUUGUCAUUGUCAAUGCAAGUUCAAAAGGUUGGUCAAUUUGUCAAAUAGAUGUGAAGUCUGCAUUGUUGAAUGAUCUAUUAGACAAGGAAAUAUUUGUAACACAACCACCUGGCUUUGAGAUUCAAGAUCAAGAGAAGAAAGUGUAUAUAGGCUACAUAAGGCACUCUAUGGGCUGAAAGAAGCCCCCAGAGCCUGGAACAAAAGAAUAGAUGGAUUCUUUUUGAAACUAGGAUCCCUGAGAUGUAUAAAUGAGCAUGAUAUCUAUACAAAAGGAGUAUCUACCGAAGCAUCAAUAAUUACCUGCUUAUAUGUAGAUGACUUGCUAAUCACAAGCAGUGACAAGGGUGAAAUUGAUUGGUUUUAAGCUAAGUUGAAACUUGAGUUUGAGAUGACUGAUUUGGGAAGUCUAUCAUACUUCCUAGGGUUUGAAUUUCUCAGAAUAGAUGCAGGAAUUUUGAUGCACCAAAAGAAGUACAUUUCUGAUGUACUUGAGAGGUUCAACAUGCUGGAAUACAACCUAGCCACAACAACUUUUGAAACUGGUCACAUUCUAGGCAAGGAAAAUCCUGAAGAUAAAUCAGUUGACUCAACUCUCUAUAGGCAAAUGAUAGGGUCUCUAAGAUACAUUUGCAACUCAAGACCAUACUUAGCUUAUGGUGUUGGAUUGGUUAUUAGAUAUAUGAAGCAUCCUAAAACUUCACAAAUGCACGCAGUAAAGAAGAUACUCAGAUAUCUCAAGGGAAGUAUAGACUAUGGUGAUAUGUUCCUUGCCAACAAAACCAGAGAACUUAGCACAAUCUAUGACUAUACAUAUGUUGAUUGGUGUGGUGAUAAGGAUGAUAGAAAGAGCACAAGUGGAUACAUCAUGUGAAGCGGAAUACAUUGCAGUCUGUUUGGAAGGACAACAAACAUUGCUCAUGGAGUUAGGAAUGCCAAUGGAUGAACUUAUCUUGUUACUUGUGGACAACAAAUCAGCCAUCAAUUUAGCAAAGAGUCCAGUGUCUCAUGACAGAAGCAAACAUAUAGAAACCAAGUAUCAUUUCUCGAGGGAUCAAGUGGAGAGGAACAAUUUGAAGCUAGAAUUUUACAACAAACUGACAUACUCACCAAACCACUGAAAAUAUAUGAUUUUCAAAGACAUAGAAGAGAACUUGGUGUGAUAAGCUUAGCUAGUAUGAAUUAAGGGAGAGUGUUGAGAAUAGUGUAAUUCAUUUAGUUAAUUUUGUUAAUCGAUUAAUAGAUUGUAUAAUCGAUUAAACAGUCUGUUAAUUCUGUUAUAAAAGACAUUGUAGCUGAAAUAAAGAAGGCGCAAAAUAUUUUUCAAUUUUCUCUCUUCUCACAUUUCAUUUCGUUAAUUGAUUAAAUUCUAUUUUUCUUUUCUUCGAACAGAUAUGACAUAACCAUAGUCUAAAAAUGUGAAGGUAAAAUUAAUGGAUUAUCUCAUACUAAUGUCUUUGACAUAUUUAAAUUGCACUAUAAUAAAUUUAGGAGUUUUUGCAACAAUAUAAUCACAUUCAUAACUUAAAACACUAUUAUAUACCAAUGUGAGGGCUGCUCAUCUUUCUCUAUGCCUAGCAAUUGCAUUAUUGUUUUUUUUUUGUAGUCAUGAGUAUUAUGGAUGUUGUGGUGUUAUUGGUGUGAUGGUGAUUAUUGGGGGUGUAAAUUAUUUCAAUUUUGCAUAAAUCAUAUUAAUAUUAAGAGUAGAUUGUGGUCAUUAAGAUGAGAUUUAAUCACAAUUUUCACAUAUUAUAUAUCAAAAUAUAUAUUGAUUGUGAUAUCUUGAUUUUCUCUUUUUAAACUUAUCUUAGGUGACUUUGUCAAAGAUAACCUGGAAGACUACUAUUUUUAAAUUUUCAUUGCUAAAUUGUUGCGUGGAUCAAGUUGGAAUCUUACAAUUUAUCUUUGUAUAAUUGGAAUGUGAUGCAAAUGAGGACUUAGCCACCAAAUUGGAAUCAACUAAAGCAAGUGUUCAUGAGAUUCCUCUUGUCAAAGUUGAGGUUCUUAUGGAGAAUAUAUAACAAGGUCAUUCAUGACAAGUUGUUCAAUGAUUCACACAUGGAGCAUGUGAUGCUCGCCCAUUAUUUAGGACCAUUGCUUUAUUAUUAUUAUCAAAAGUUAGAAGUUGACUUUCAAAUAUAAGAAAACCUUGAAAAUGACAACUUUAUCUUUCUCCAUUCACCACUCAUUCCCACCACACCACCAACUCCAUGAUUGUUGUAGAACCUCAUUUUUAUAAUAUUAUAUAGGGGAACAUGUCCAAUUGAGAGAAGAAAAAAAUAUUCAUACCAUUAAAUUUUCCUUACUAUAUAAAAAACACAUCACAUAUAAAAUGUUAAAAUAAAAUCAUAAAUACUUUAUUUUAAUUCAACAUCAUAAAUUGAGCUUCAUCUAAAUAGGAUAAAAAUGAUGUCUUAAAAUCCCCUCAACGUAUACAUGUCUCUAAAAGAUAAAACUAAACAAAUAGCAAAAAAAUUAUCCAAGUACUAUAAUAGUAGUAUAGUCCAUUGUUUAUUGUUCUUCCACCUACACAUGGUUCAUCUCUUAGAAGAUCAUAGAAUAUAAUUAUCAUAACACAAUCUUAAAAUGAGAUAAAAAUAUCAGUAUAAUAUCAAAUAUCAAAACUUUAAAGAAAUAUGAUAUUUAUAGUAUAAAUAGAGGUAAAAGAGAAAUAACAAUAUUCUCGCUUCAUAUCAUAAUCUAUUAUUCAUAACUUAAAUAUAUAUAAGGAGAGGAUAAGUCGAACACAUCACAACACUUCAGUCAUUUCUUAUGUGACCUUAAUUGUUUCGAACCGUCAAUCUAAAUUAAAAGUUUGCAUACAAUAAGUCUACUAGAGGUGUCUACCUGUCAUUCGAUAUCAUGAGUUCAUGAGAGUAUCUUACCUCAUUUCUAUGAGUAAGUCUCUCUUCAUGCGACUAAGAAUUCAUUUAUAUAUGCCCAGAUCAACGAACGGAUCCUGAAAUUCCCCAACAAUCAACACAAUUUGGGCCAUGAGCCCAAACAAUCAAAUACAAACGUAAAUUAGAUCAUACAUUCUCCCAAAAAAAUCAUCAUGAAAUUUAUAUAAUCAUAAAUUCUUCACUAAGAAAGAAGAAAAGAGAAACAAAUGUAAACAUAAUAUAAAAAUAAUAGAGCAUUAUAAAUUAGACCUCUUACUAUGCCGAACAUUAUCCUUUGAAAUGAAUCACUGAUAAAAUUAAUUAUGAUAUAUGUGUCUUCAUUAUUAUUAUACUGCCAAAAGUAUGUUAUAUAUAGAUAAACUAAGUAUAAGAGAAGUCUUAUGCCUUCCCUUAUUGGGUUGAAUAUAUAAAUUCAAGAAUACAGGUGUGUGGUUUUAUUUCAUCUUAGUGUAUUGAAUCGUAUGCAUAUGCACAUCAACAUGUAUCUUAAUACUCAUAUGGCAUAAAAUAAAAUUAGCAGAAGGAAUAAGCAUAUAAUCGCGUUGCACGUUUCUCCUGUGAACAACAAUUGAAAUUAUUAAUUUCUUUGAAUGAAACUCAUAGCAGAACUUAGAAUAAAAUAAAGAGCAAAUAAAGUGAAAACAUUAUGGAUGUUCCAUACACGCAGAAAUUGAGAGAGUAAAAUCAUAUAUGCCAAACACAACAUUAAUAAUAAUAAAAACAGUAUUUCCCAACUACCAAAUUCAUGGAGUUUAAUUUUGUUAGGGUUUUAAUAUUAUGGCAAUGGAUUGAUGGAUAAAUAUUGCUUCUUCACUUGCUCCCUAUUUGAUAAAAUAUAUAUUAUAUUUAAUCCUUAAUUAAUUAUUAUGUUAUGAUAUUUUAAUCCUAAUACAUUAUUUAUUUAAUUAACCAUUCCUUCUAUAUCAUUUGUAAUACUCAUCUUCUUUCAAUAUGAGGAAUAACACUACUAACUUAAUUAUCUAGCAAAAUACAGCUUAAAAAAUAGUCAUUCAACAAUCAUUUGAUAUAAGUACAUAAUCACAUAUAUUAAUUAACACUAUCUCAAUUAAUCAUUUUCUAGGAAUGUUAUACUAUCACUGCCACAACCAUGUAAAUGUCAUCACUAUAUGGUGUAUAUCAAACAUUGGAUAGGGUGAGAACUUAUCUUACUCAUAUCAUAUUCUACUCUUGUCAUUAAUUAUACUAUUAGUAGCAAUUAAGACCCAACAAAUAACAUUUUCUUGUUAAUGUUUUGGGCUAUUAGUAGCCCAUACCCAUUAGCCUGGACCCAAAAUUGGGUCCACAUAAGAGAAAAUAAUCUCAGAUUUAAAACAGCAAACAAAUUAGAAAUGGCAAAAUGCUAUACAAAUAUGUGAAUGAGAUUUUUCCUUCUUUUUUUCUGUCAUAAACUCAUAAUAACUAAAAAUGUGCCACCCUCUCCUUCCCACCUAAAUAGGAUCAAUAAACACGUGAAAAUAAACAUAACCAUAACAAAACAAUUUUCCAAAAAUAACCAAAAAAUUGUCACAAAACCAGGAAACAAAUUAGCCACAAAUUCUUACCCACCACCACUAUAAAACUCUCUUGAUCCAAUCCUUUUCUCCUCAGGCUGCAAAUUAUCUCUUAAACAAUAAAAGCAAAUAAAAGUGUAUUAGGUAACCUUAUCUCAUUCUUUUUUGUUACCUGAUAUACGCCAUGGAGAUGAAGAAGGUUGCUUGUGCUGUUCUCUUUGCUGCCGCCUCCGUUAGCGCCGUCGUUGCCACCGAUGUGCCUGCUCCAGCUCCUGGACCUAGCAGCGGCGCCACCGCUGUUGGUUCAUUUGUGGGUGCCUCCAUCCUCUCCUUUGUUGCCUACUACUUGUUUUAAACGUGACACAUGCAUGAAGGUGUGUGUGAUUAUGAAGAUUACAUGCAUAACGUGGAAUGAAGUGUAUAAUGCUAGUUACAGCAUCACGAGGGUGAGAAAAUGAGAAUUUUGUUCUCUUAUUUCAUUUCCUUUUGGGUUUGCCUUUUUUUCUAUGUUGUAUGUUCUUUCCAUGUUGAAUGUGUAGGCAUGGAGUGAUUUUAUAUUUCUUAAUAAAAAAGUUUAUUAUUUAUUAUUA